rnacentral:sRNA from 1 species
CUUGGUCAUUUAGAGGAAGUAAAAGUCGUAACAAGGUCUCCGUAGGUGAACCUGCGGAGGGAUCAUUACAAGAACGCCCGGGCUUCGGCCUGGUUAUUCAUAACCCUUUGUUGUCCGACUCUGUUGCCUCCGGGGCGACCCUGCCUUCGGGCGGGGGCUCCGGGUGGACACUUCAAACUCUUGCGUAACUUUGCAGUCUGAGUAAACUUAAUUAAUAAAUUAAAACUUUUAACAACGGAUCUCUUGGUUCUGGCAUCGAUGAAGAACGCAGCGAAAUGCGAUAAGUAAUGUGAAUUGCAGAAUUCAGUGAAUCAUCGAAUCUUUGAACGCACAUUGCGCCCCCUGGUAUUCCGGGGGGCAUGCCUGUUCGAGCGUCAUUUCACCACUCAAGCCUCGCUUGGUAUUGGGCAACGCGGUCCGCCGCGUGCCUCAAAUCGUCCGGCUGGGUCUUCUGUCCCCUAAGCGUUGUGGAAACUAUUCGCUAAAGGGUGUUCGGGAGGCUACGCCGUAAAACAACCCCAUUUCUAAGGUUGACCUCGGAUCAGGUAGGGAUACCCGCUGAACUUAAGCAUAUCAAUAAGCGGAGGAAAAGAAACCAACAGGGAUUGCUCUAGUAACGGCGAGUGAAGCAGCAAUAGCUCAAAUUUGAAAUCUGGCGUCUUCGACGUCCGAGUUGUAAUUUGUAGAGGAUGCUUCUGAGUGGCCACCGGCCUAAGUUCCUUGGAACAGGACGUCAUAGAGGGUGAGAAUCCCGUAUGCGGUCGGAAAGGCGCUCUAUACGUAGCUCCUUCGACGAGUCGAGUUGUUUGGGAAU